rnacentral:rRNA from 1 species
GAUGAACGCUGACAGAAUGCUUAACACAUGCAAGUCUUUGGCGAAUCUGUGCUUGCACAGGCUAGCCAAGGCGGACGGGUGAGUAACGCGUAAAGAACUUGCCCUGCAGACAGGGAUAACAGACGGAAACGACUGAUAACACCUGAUACAGUUGCCGGCACGCAUGUGCCUGGCAAUGAAAAGAGAUGCUGCAGGAGAGCUUUGCGUCCUAUUAGCUUGUUGGUGAGGUGACGGCUCACCAAAGCGAUGAUAGGUAGCCGGCCUGAGAGGGUGAACGGCCACAAGGGGACUGAGAUACGGCCCUUACUCCUACGGGAGGCAGCAGUGGGGAAUAUUGGACAAUGGGGGCAACCCUGAUCCAGCAAUUCUGUGUGCACGAAGAAGGUUUUCGGAUUGUAAAGUGCUUUCAGCAGGGAAGAAGAAAGUGACGGUACCUGCAGAAGAAGCGACGGCUAAAUACGUG